UACGGGGGAUGCAAGCGUUAUCCGGAUUUAUUGGGUUUAAAGGGUGCGUAGGCUGUGAGGUAAGUCAGCGGUGAAAUGCCCCCGCUCAACGGGGUGAAGUGCCAUUGAUACUGCCUUGCUGGAAUGCGGAUGCCGUGGGAGGAAUGUGUGGUGUAGCGGUGAAAUGCAUAGAUACCACACAGAACACCGAUUGCGAAGGCAUCUCACGAAUCCGCGAUUGACGCUGAUGCACGAAAGCGUGGGUAUCAAACAGG
rnacentral:rRNA from 1 species